CAGAAUAGUUAACGCGAUAGAUGGUUGGGGAAACUGGGGGUAUUUCUAAACUAAUUCCGGCAUUUGUACCUCGGCUUCGGUCGGUACGCACUUAUUAAACAAAGCUGAAACAGACCCUUUCGAUGGGCUGUUAUUUGAUGAAUCUGAAUAACGUUGUAGAUCGCAUGGUCGAGUACCGGCGACAUGUCUUAUAAAUGCCUGCCUUAUCAACUUUGGUUGGUAGGUUAUACGCCUACCAUGGUGAUAACGGGUAACGGAGGAUAAGGGUUCGACUCCGGAGAGGGAGCCUGAGAAACGGCUGCCACAUCCAAGGAAGGCAGCAGGCACGCAAAUUACCCAAUUUCGGAAUGAAGAGGUAGUGAUGAAAAAUAACGAGGCGGUGCUCUUUGAGACCCGUCAUCGGAAUGAUCUUGAUUUAAAACUGCUUGCGAGGAAUAAUUGGAGGGCAAGUCUGGUGCCAGCAGCCGCGGUAAUUCCAGCUCCAAUAGCUUAUAUUAAAGUUGUUGCGGUUAAAACGCUCGUAGUUGGAUCUGCUGUAAUCGGGAGCGGUGUCCCCGUAAUGUUAUCGGGUGACUGACUGCAUCUUGAGCUUCGAUGUCGGUUGAUUCGUUGGAUGCUCUUAAAAAAGUGACCAAUGUGUGCUGAAAAUUUACUUUGAACAAAAUAGAGUGCUUAAAGCAAGUGAUGUGCUUGAAUAUUAUUGCAUGGAAUAAUGGAGAAGGACCUCGGUUCUAUUUUUUGGUUUUCGGAUCUGAGGUAAUGAUUAAAAGGAACAGUCGGGGACAUUCGUAUUGCUGCGUUAGAGGUGAAAUUCUUGGAUCGCAGUAAGACGACAACUGCGAAAGCAUUUGUCAAGGAUGUUUUCAUUAAUCAAGAACGAAAGUUAGAGGUUCGAGCGCGAAUAACACACACACACAACCACA
rnacentral:rRNA from 1 species